rnacentral:rRNA from 1 species
AACGAACGCUGGCGGCAUGCCUAACACAUGCAAGUCGAACGAGAACUUCGGGUCUAGUGGCGCACGGUUGCGUAACGCGUGGGAACCUGCCCUUAGGUUCGGAAGAACUCCCCGAAAGGGGUGCUAAUACCGGAUAAUGUCUUUGGACCAAAGAAUAAUCGCCUUUGGAUGGGCGUGCGUUAGAUUAGCUGGUUGGUAAGGUAAAAACAUAACAAGGCGAUGAUCCAUAGUUGGGCAGGGAGCAUGCUCAGCCAUAAUGGAACUGUGACACAGCCAAGUACCUUACGGAAUGCUGCAGGAGAUAACAUACUGCAAUGGAGGAAGGCUUGAUCCUGCGAUGCCGCGUAUGAGGUGAAGGCGUUAGGGUUGUAAAGCCCUUUCACCCGGAACGUUAGUGACAGUACCGGCAGAAGAAGCUCCGGCUAACUCCGUG